rnacentral:rRNA from 1 species
CCCUUAGAGUUUGAUCCUGGCUCAGAACGAACGCUGGCGGCAGGCUUAACACAUGCAAGUCGAACGCCCCGCAAGGGGAGUGGCAGACGGGUGAGUAACGCGUGGGAAUCUACCCAGUUCUUCGGAAUAACUGAGGGAAACUUCAGCUAAUACCGGAUACGCCCUAUGGGGGAAAGAUUUAUCGGGAUUGGAUGAGCCCGCGUGAGAUUAGCUAGUUGGUGGGGUAAUGGCCCACCAAGGCGACGAUCUCUAGCUGGUCUGAGAGGAUGAUCAGCCACACUGGGACUGAGACACGGCCCAGACUCCUACGGGAGGCAGCAGUGGGGAAUAUUGGACAAUGGGCGCAAGCCUGAUCCAGCCAUGCCGCGUGAGUGAUGAAGGCCUUAGGGUUGUAAAGCUCUUUCAGUGGGGAAGAUAAUGACGGUACCCACAGAAGAAGCCCCGGCUAACUUCGUGCCAGCAGCCGCGGUAAUACGAAGGGGGCUAGCGUUGUUCGGAUUUACUGGGCGUAAAGCGCACGUAGGCGGAUGGUUAAGUCAGGGGUGAAAUCCCGCAGCUCAACUGCGGAACUGCCUUUGAUACUGGCCAUCUUGAGUCCGGAAGAGGUGAGUGGAACUCCUAGUGUAGAGGUGGAAUUCGUAGAUAUUAGGAAGAACACCAGUGGCGAAGCGGCUCACUGGUCCGGUACUGACGCUGAGGUGCGAAAGCGUGGGGAGCAAACAGAUUAGAUACCCUGGUAGUCCACGCCGUAAACUAUGAGAGCUAGCCGUUGGGACGUUUACGUCUCAGUGGC